AAAUUGAAGAGUUUGAUCAUGGCUCAGAUUGAACGCUGGCGGCAGGCCUAACACAUGCAAGUCGAACGGUAACAGGAAUCAGCUUGCUGAUUCGCUGACGAGUGGCGGACGGGUGAGUAAUGUCUGGGAAACUGCCUGAUGGAGGGGGAUAACUACUGGAAACGGUAGCUAAUACCGCAUAAUGUCGCAAGACCAAAGAGGGGGACCUUCG
rnacentral:rRNA from 1 species